UUAAACCUUUGCUCUCCUUCCCCAGCCACUCGGGGGAAUAGGAGGAGGUGGAUGUAUUGGGGGAAGCAUAAAUUCCAAGCGAGUGAAGAGGUCUGAGCCCCCCAUAGUUGACCUGGUGGAACUGCUGCGCGAAUGACGCUCGGCUGCCUCUCUGCAUGUCCAGGUGAGA